GGAUUAAAAAUGUUAUGGCAACGAAAUUGUUUUUCCAAAAAAAAUUCUAAAUUUAUCAACUUUUCCAUUUGAGAACUGAAGGGAGAAGAUUCUGAAGUGUAAAAGCGGAAUAGUAGAAUGGAAAUUCCCCUCUGAUAAACAGAAACUGCCAAAAGCAAGACCAGCAAAGGCUUGUCAUUUAUUUAUCAUCCGACCUACCAAAUUUGAUCAACCAAAAAUUGUUUCUU
rnacentral:lncRNA from 1 species